UUGAUGUGGAACUGUGUACUGUCACAGAUAUGCUUUGACUUAUUAUGUUCCACAAUAGUCAGAUGUGGUACCUGGUCUGUCAGAUUAGUUAGCAAUUUCAUAGCUUGCUUUUCUGGUCUCUGAAGGAUGACUCGCCUCGUGUUAAAACAGAAAUGGAUGCCAUGAAGAACUUAAGUCAUCAGGAUGUUUGUCAAUCAUAUCACGUAACAGAGACAUCAAAGAAAAUAUUCAUGGUCUUAGAGAUUGUUUCAGCGAUGGCUGAUGUUCACAGUCAGGGUUAUGGCCACAGAGACCUCAAACCAGGAUGCCUUGAUUACUACCUGAACACAUGCUGUGGAAGCCCAGCAAAUGCAGCACCAGAGCUAAUCCAGGGCAAAGCGUAUAUUGGCUCAGAGGCAGAUAUUUGGAGCAUGGGUGUACUGCGGUAUGCUCUGUUGUGUGGGCUUCUUCCUUUGAUGCUGACAAUGUGAUGGCACUCUGCAGGAGGAUAACAAGAGGACAAUACACCGUUCCAAAAUGGCUUUCACCUAGCAGCACGCUGCUACUUAACCAACUGCUACAGGCACCUUGAAGUUCUUAG